CCCCCCCCCCCGCUUGUGCCGCCAAAUCGUACACCCGGAUGAACAAAGAAGGUAUGUUAUGAAUUCCCCAAUCUUGGCGUUAUUUGUAGUUUAAUUUCAGCCGGAUUUGUAUUAUAGCGUUGACCAAAUAUGUUUCUUCUCCGGCUACGGCACCGGCCAAGUCCUUGCGGGAAAGGUCCAUCAUCGGAAUCGAAAGAACGGGUUUCCUUCCUGUUCGAAGACUAGGGCCAUAAUCGGAAUCGGAAGAACGGUUCUCCUUCGGCAGGGAAAUGCGGAAGGCGCACGAACCCAUGCGGCACAUGCGUUCGAUCGGAACCGGAUCGGUCGAUGGAGAAGCACCUAGUGCUGAUGCUACUUGCGGCAGUGGAUGCGGCAGCGAAAGAUUCUCCUCCCAGUCUAUGCGCCUGUGGGAUGCGAAUCAUCGCUGCUUUCAAGCCGGAGUAAUAGUUCAGUUUCUGCAAACAAAUAAUGACUGUAUCGUGCGCAACUCGCCGGCGGCGAGUAAUGAUGCUACGUUACUGCGGAUGAAGCUAUAUAUUCUUUUGUUGCCUCCAACUACCUCCCUACCCCUUCUUUCUCUGCAGUCAUAACUUACCAGAUCAAUAGUUCUCUGUUCCUUCUCUCUGUUGCCACCCCGUCUCCUCCCAAUAAUUAUCACCGGUUGUAAAAUCCUAAUUUUUGAGACUCCAAUUGCUUGCAGGUUGUGUUCAUGUUGGUUCGCCUCAACUCAUUCCAAUAAAUCUUGCAGUUUCUUCGGACUUACUUGAUUGUGAAAUUUUUAAUCUGACUAUUUUGAAUGCCUGGCAGUCAGGUCCAAAUGAUCUCUUUGAGCCAACUUCUGUUCACUGUUUUGUGGAUUCGUUGAGCAAGAAGAAGAUUCGAAUAAAAGCUCUUUUACUUGAUGAGGUAGAAGUUCUUGCUUCCAUAGUUAUUGUUUUCUAAAAUACAGAUAAUUAACUUCUUGUUUUCUUGUACAAUUUUCUUAUGAUAUCGUAGAUGCCAUUGUUUUUUUACUCAGCAGGGCUCCACACAUUGACAACUAUAAAGUGCACAACAAGGUAUUCGUACAAAUAUAUUUUUUAGGCUGGCAUGAAACACACCACUUCAACUUUAAAUUUGUCAUAUGGACUGGGAAACAUUCGGGACUGAUGACCGAGUUCUGGACACUUGCCUUUAAUUGUUAAGAGGCCUGACAAUAGGGGAACCGGGCAAGUGACUAGAAAGUUGUUGUUAUUUAUUGCUUUGCUCAACUAAUAAUUCGAUAAAAGUGUUAAUAGCCAUCCGAUGCACCUGAACCGAUAUGAUCUUAUCCCUAACUACCACGACUAGCACUCCUUAGAGUUUAUAAGCUGCUGCCGUUCAAUGGAUAGAAAUAUUGCAGCUUCUGCACUUCUUCUGUUCUACUGUUGCUUGGUUGUAACAGAGUUCACGUUAUACAUUACAGAUUGCUCCAAGCCUAACAAGGGAGAGUUGUGAAGCACUACACCAAAGCAUCCAAGAGGUUGUGAAAUAUGUUGUCAAUUGAUGAUGCUGAUUGUGACCGCUUUUCUGUCGAAUGGUUCACGGCCGGGGGAAAAAUCUGGUAAGCUUGAUGGUGAGUUUAUCCUCAAGUUACAUCGCAGUUGUCUUAUUCCUGAACAAAACUGGUACCAACUUUCUCGAGAAUAUUGGUAAGCGCCUCUUGUUGCUUUUACGGGUAUAGUGGUAUUUUAUAGUGUGGAAGUAUUGAUAUAUAAGUGUCAUGUGGUCCAAUCUUGUGACCACUGUCAGCCUUUCAUCUUCCUUUGAUCUAUCAACUUUCUGGUUAUUGCUUGAAAGAAAAAUUGAAUUCAAACCAGUCCGUGGCAGGGUGAAUAAUACCAUUUCAUUACUACACCUUGUACCAUGAGAAAUUUGUCAAUCCCCCUAAUUUCUACACUACGUGUAGACUACAGCCUACGUGUCACAACUUCAGAUGGUGAUUAGAAUCCCGUCUGGCAAAGCGACCAAGAAAGAGAGUGGAUUAAAAAAAUGAGGUAUUGCUGCAAGAUUAAAGGUAAAACUGAUCAGAUAGCACCAGGAAGACAUUUCAUAUUUGCAGCCAAACAUAUCCAAUACAUAGUAGAAAUAUAAUAGAAGUAGAGUCAAUUAUGUAUGCUAUAUAUGUUGAGCCCAAUAGGCUUACCAACCCCCAUCCCAUUAUAUAUUUUUAUACGUUUAGCCUCUUUGCAACUGCCAAGCGCAAACCUCUUUUGUUGCACUUGCAGUAAACUUACUUGGUUAAUACUUAUGAUUAUCUGUUUAAAGAUUAUUCAUUUUCUUGCAUAUUAAGUAUUCACUAGGAUAGGCAAUGGUGGUGUUUAUUCUUAUGUAGUAGGAAGUAAUCAGGGAGGAUGACAAUAAGCUCGAGGAACUGAAAAAAGAGUAUGGUGAGGAAAUCCAUGUUGCAGUUACGAUGGUGUUGACUGACAGUGGCAACAGGGUUUUUCUUUUCCCGUGAUAUGGAACCACAAGGAGGGAGGAAAGUGAAAACAAAGAAAUUGUCCAAGAUGUCAUUGUGCUGUUCGAUGCUAUCAAGAAACGGCUCUGAGCAGCUCAACACUAUGGCUCCUCUGCCGUGACCCAAACGAGGACACAUAUCUAUGUUUCAUUAUGUAUCAAGUCACUAAGUGGAGUCGAAUUGUUACACAAUGCAUUUUGUUAGACCAACUUAUUGCUUUCUGCAGUAAGUGAACUUGGCAGCAGUUGUUCAUUGUCAUGGAAAUUCAAGUUUUACAUUCAAUGUCC